GGGUUUUGCUUCAAAUAUCUCAGCCUUUUCCCCUUCUUUUCCUGCAGACAAUGCCAUGACCCAGAUGGGAGUGCAGAGCAGGUCUGGACUGACAGGACAGUCAUCCAUGACCACAUCAGCCUGACAUUCCCUGAUGAUGGCAACGGGAUGAACUCGGAGCAGCUGCACAAAAUACUAAGUUGGCAACCAAGAGAAGAGACAGACUCGGCUCCAAUCCUUUGGAGUAUUGAUAAGAGAAGGUAUUGUGGGAAAUGACCCUGUGCCUUUUCUGUUUCUCCUGCCAGAGUCGGUAGGGUUUGGACUGAUCUCUCUUUUAUUUCUCCAGGUAGCAGAGAGGUUUCUUUCCCCUUUAGAAGAGAAGAUAGUGUACAGACCCCCUUAUUAGAGAAGAUAGUGUACUGACCCCUUUAGUAGAGAAGAUAGUGUACAGAGAAGAUAGUAGAGAAGAUAGUGUACCCCUUAUUAGAGAAGAUUGCUCUGCCUGCAGCUGUACCCAUGGACAAGCUUGGAUUCCAACCGUUCUGUUCACAGCAAUGCAGCUGUGGCAGUUCCCUGCUUAGAGAGAAGCUGGAAUUCGUUGGCACUGGAGCACGUUGUCCCAGGAAGCGACUACUCCCUGCCAGGACGUAGGAGAUGUUUUUCCAUUGGCCUUGGGUUUGGGAGCUGGAGGG
rnacentral:lncRNA from 1 species